rnacentral:snoRNA from 1 species
GGCCUAUGAUUAAUAAUCUUCUAAGACAAGCAUAUGUCUGAAUCAUCCUAUGUUGAUCACCUAAUCUUCUCUAUGAGGCC